GGGGCAGUCAUCGUUUGUGCACCGGUGUGGGUGGUUGUGAUAAACGUUUAAUUGGACAUUGUUAGUUGUUCGGUUUUGGAGUGAAGAUCGCGUCUGCUACUGUCAAGUCACGUAAGGAUACGCAGUUAUUCCUCGACGUCUCACAGACUCGGCGAUGCUGUGGCGAGGUCUGCUGUUGCUGGGCCUGUGCGCCGUCGCGUGCAGCAAGGUAAGUUGGCUUCAGUUCUAACGAAGUGCCGCGCUCAUUACCCGGUAAGUACAGGUAAUUCCUCUGGUGAAGUGGGUUUUUGUGCAUGCCAUUGUCAGCCACGCAGGAUGGGUCGUUAUCCCUAAUGGCUCUCGGGGGCGCUUUGCGGAGCUCUGGCGAAGGCGCGCCGUGGUAUUAUCGUAAUAACCCGUCUCCUAUGAAACUGCUCUCUCUCUCUGUCUGCGAGCCGGGGCUAAGGGCAGUCCGGAAACUUGUGAUACGUGGCUGGCCGGGCGAGUCUCGUCCGAGGGCGGGCGCGCACCGCCGCCAGCCGCAGACGCGGCGAGAACUUCACCUCGGCGCUAUUUGCAUGUUAUUGAAUUCCAGGUGGAGCGGAACCCCGUCCCCGCCUCCACCUGAAGCAGCCGCGGGCGUCUGGUGCGCGUCGAGACGCAACUCAGGCGUCCUGCGCGCCAGUGGCCAGGAAGAAUGGCCUCGCCUAUGCCACUCCUGGUGCAGUCUUCACAGUUGGGUGUGCGGAUGGGGGGUCGACGACCGACCGCUAGAGACCGGACAAAUUCGCGAAUUCAUUUCGCGAUAGGCUGAAAUGCAAAUAGUCAUACCUCAGUGCCGCCUCUGCUAUUGGCUCGCAACUCACCUGGAUGACUCUGGGCCAAUUAGAAACACCCAACCAAAGCUUUAUCGAAUCACAGGCUGUUACGUUGGGACGUCUCACAAGACAGCAGCCAAUGAGUGGGUGGCAUUUGACCGAGUGUACGUAUAACUAUGGAGUUCAUCCUACAGGGCUUUGAACCCGCGAAUUUUUCCGGUCCCUACCGACCGCUAUCUUGGACUUGGUGACAUUUGACUUCCAAAUUUUUCCGAAACUGAAUUAAAAACCAUCAAAAAAACUCACACCUCAGUUUAAGGCUACACUCUUCAUUUGUCGCGACACAAACUAAGAAGCGGGGUCAGUUACGACUGCCAAGGGUAAGCCAAAAACUGGAAAAAAAAAAAAAAAAACCUUUCCGUCAAGAUUGCAAUAACGUCCUGGGAUAGCGUCUGUCUCAUGGGAAAUAACAAAACAAACUUGGUAAAACUAUCGAUUAGUAAUAAUGUGUACUUAAUACCAGUCCUACUCCUAGGCAACGGUCCCAAUAUAUCCAUGUAGACCCUCUCCCACGGUUUAGUCGCCACUUAGGCGUGGUGUUUUCUUCUUUUCUGAUAUUCCUCGGUUUAAUUCUUUGGCAAAUAUCGCAUUCACGUACCCAGCUCUGUAUAUCUUUUGUGACCGUCGGCCAGAAAAAGUCACGUUUUAUCCAUUGUUGAGUGCUUUCUCAAUCCUGAUGUGCCUUGAAAAACGUUUCAUGAUAAUACUGAAAUGCCAGCCUUCUCAACUCCCGUGGUAAAAUUAUAAGGAAUUGCCCCUUUUUGUCUGUUUUUCCGAUCAGUCCGCUUUCAACGACAUACUUUUUGUCACCGUUAAUUUUCUGACGUAUUUCCAUGCAUUCUUGAUCCUCCUCUUGUUUGCUUUUUAAGUCUUACUUUUUGUCACCGUUGAUAAUUUUCUGACGUAUUUCCACGCAUUCUUGAUCCUCUUGUUUGCUUUUUAAGUCUACAAAGACUUCCGGUACUCGGUUUAACACACAUGACAUCCUGAUGUCAUCGUAACACUCGUCCGUGAUGUCAUUCACUCCCGUAUUUUCCUCAGAAAACAUUCUAGACAAGCAAUCCGCUACCUUAUUAUGGUGCCCUUAAUAUGCCUAAAAGUAAAAUUAAAACGCGUUAAUCGCAUAAUCCAACGACCAAUCCGCCCUAACGGCUUCCUGGAUUUUAGCAACCAACUUAAAGCUUGGUUGUCUGUUUCGACUUUAAAUUUCAUGGGUUCCAAAUACUCGCUGAAUUUUUCCAUGCCUACCAGACAUACCAAACAUUCUUUUUCAUACACAGUGUAAUUACGUUCAUUAGCAUUUAAUAGGCUGCUAGCGUAAGCUACCGGUUUUAAAUCACCAUUCACCCCCUGAUUUAGUACAGCUCCUACGGCGAUCCCACUCGCGUCUGUCUGCAAAACAAAUUCAUUAUUGAAAUUUGGCAAUGUUAAAACUGGCGGUGUAGUUAGUGCACGUUUGAGAGAUUUAAACGCCAUUUCGUGUUGGUCCGUCCAGUCAAAUUCUACCCCCUUUCUCUUCAAUUGAUUUAGAGGAUCUGUCAUCUCCGCGUAUCCGGGUAUAAACUUAGCGUAGUAGCCACACACAUUCCCAGCAAUCUACGUACAGCCUUCAAAUUUUUCGGCCGAGGGAAAUUUAUCACUGCCGCUUCCUUUUCAGGAUCCAAACGCAACUGACUUUCCGCAAUAAUAAACCCAAGAUAUUUCGUUCGCUCCUAUACCCAGGUCACCUUCUUCGGAUUUACCGUCAAUCAUACGUCACUUAAGGCUGUCAGUACUGUUUCUAUCUGCAUUUUAUGCUCGUCCGACGUGUAACUAUAAAUGCACACGUCAUCAGUAUAGUUAAACACAAACUCGUACUGAUACUUUCCUAAUACAUGCUCUAGUACUCUUGACAAUGCCUGUACACCAUCAUUACAACCAAACGGCACGCGACACCAACUAUACUGCCCCCACGGCGUCACGAAGGACAACGGUUCUCUAGAUUUUGGGUGUAACUCGAUUUUCAAAAAUGCCUGGUUUAAGUCCAGUAUGGUGAAGUAUUUCACUUUCCUCAGCUGCUGUAAAGCCAGGUCUACAACUCGGCGCCGGAAAUAGGUCCGGGCAUAACUUAAGGGUAAACUGUCUCAGGUCUGUUACCAAGCGAUACCCAGAUAUUUCACCCUUGUCUUUCGGUACCAAAAAUGCCGGACUUGCGUAUUUACUUGUUGACUUAACAAUUACGCCUUCCUCGACUAUUUUUGCGAUCAUUAUUAGGAAUGGUUUGACCUUAACGGCCGCGACCUUGUAUGGAGCGCAAACAACUGGUUCCCCAUCCUUUAAGUGAAAACGGUACGGCAAAUGGUACAAUGAGCAAAAUUAUCUGUAAAAACAUUUGAGUAUUUUUCCUGAAAAUAUUCCAUCAUCUUAUCACGUUCCUCGUUUAUCGCUACAUGGUGUAGCUGUUUUUUCCUGUUUUUCCCCUUUACCUACUACCAAAUGGGGAAAUCUACUUCAUGUUCUAUUUUUUCACUAAACUCAAAACGAAGUUUCCUUUUGCGAAAAUAAAUUACUGCCUGCGUAUGAGUCAAAAAAUCAAUUCCUAUGAUAACCGGAUAGUUUUUGUCUUCAAUCACGUAACAAUCAUAUUUCCAAGUGAAUUCGCCGAUCCUAAUUGGUACACGCGCGAUGCGUCAUGAUGACAACAAACCUCCGUCAGCGGUAGUACAUUUUACCAGCGGAAUUUUCCAUACCCUUAUUGAUCCUACAUCAUUUUCCCUAAGAAUCUGGUUACACCAUUUCUUACUUAUUAGCGUGCCCGAUGAUCCUGUGUCCACAAGACCAUUCACGCAAAUUUUUCCAAUUAUAAUUGGAACUUGAAGCGAACCUACCGAUUUUUUUUAUUGAUUCAGGGCCCUUUUGUUACGACGCGCUUUUUCAAGUAACACUUAUCUUGUCCGUGGCUUGGGUUACCACACUCCCAACAUUCGCGUAUACUGUCCGUGUCCGUCCCUGAGGUCAUUACACUGUUACGACGUAAGUGUUCGACUGACCCACACUUACAACACUUUUUUGUAGUGCUUUGUUUUAGCCUUCCUACCUCCUACAUUUGGGUCCGCCAUCUUUGUGAAACAUUUCCGUUCAUCAAGUUCAGUUCCAUUUUCACAAAAUUAUGUAACUCUACCGAACGCCGUAUGAAUAUUAAAAAAAUAAAAAUAAAAAUAAA